UACGGGGGGGGGCAAGCGUUGUUCGGAAUUACUGGGCGUAAAGGGGACGUAGGCGGCCAACUAAGUCCGACGUGAAAUCCCAAGGCUUAACCUUGGAACUGCGUCGGAUACUGGAUGGCUUGAAUUCGGGAGAGGGAUGCAGAAUUCCAGGUGUAGCGGUGAAAUGCGUAGAUAUCUGGAGGAACACCGGUGGCGAAGGCGGCAUCCUGGACCGACACUGACGCUGAGGAGCGAAAGCCAGGGGAGCAAACGGG
rnacentral:rRNA from 1 species